rnacentral:sRNA from 1 species
AUUGUGUCUCCAGCCCCUCAUGCUGAAGACACUCCCUUCCCCCUACACCUCCCCAGGGGUGCGGGUCACCAGCACUGGGAGGCCAGGCCAUGCCUCACGCUUCAUGGAGGACACAGCAGCAGAGAAGCUGCACAAGGUUGUGAGCUCCAUCCUGGCAUUCCGGGAGAAGGAAUGGCAGAGGCUGCAGUCAAACCCCCACCUGAAAGAGGGGUCCGUGACCUCCGUGAACCUGACUAAGCUAGAGGGUGGCGUGGCCUAUAACGUGAUACCUGCCACCAUGAGCGCCAGCUUUGACUUCCGUGUGGCACCGGAUAUGGACUUCAAGGCUUUUGAGGAGCAGCUGCAGAGCUGGUGCCAGGCAGCUGGCGAGGGGGUCACCUUAGAGUUUGCUCAGAAGUGGAUGCACCCCCAAGUGACACCUACUGAUGACUCAAACCCCUGGUGGGCAGCUUUUAGCCGGGUCUGCAAGGACAUGAAGCUUACUCUGGAGCCUGAGAUCAUGCCUGCUGCCACUGACAACCGCUAUAUCCGCGCGGUGGGGAUCCCAGCUCUAGGCUUCUCACCCAUGAACCGCACACCUGUGCUGCUGCACGACCACGAUGAACGGCUGCAUGAGGCUGUGUUCCUCCGUGGGGUGGACAUAUAUACACGCCUGCUGCCUGCCCUUGCCAGUGUGCCUGCCCUGCCCAGUGAGAGCUGAGCCCCGGAACUCCUCAACCUUUGCCCCUGGGGCUUCCAUCCCAACCAGUGCCAAGGACCUCCUCUUCCCCCUUCCAAAUAAUAAAGUCUA